rnacentral:rRNA from 2 species
GGAUGCGAUCAUACCAGCACUAAAGCACCGGAUCCCAUCAGAACUCCGAAGUUAAGCGUGCUUGGGCGAGAGUAGUACUAGGAUGGGUGACCUCCUGGGAAGUCCUCGUGUUGCAUUNN